UUUAAGUAUCUUUUUGAUCUCUUUAAUGAUAGUUUUGUUGGUUGCCUUAGCUUUCCCGUUGCACUGUGGGUAGCUCAACGUUGAAUUGUAAAACUCAAUUUUAAGCUCCUCUAACAACUUUUUGACUUUUUGGCCCACGAUUGGGUUCCGUUAUCCGAGACAGAAUGUUGUUUCAUAUAAAAUUAAUUACAUCAACCUGCUUGAUCCGGGCCAACGAUUUAGCUUCAACCCAUUUGGUGAAGUAAUCUUUGACAGCUAGUAAGAACUUCUUAUUUUUCGAAGCUCAGGAAAGUAACCCUAUGAUGUCCAUUCCCCACUAAUAAUGGGUCAUGAACUAGGCUGGUUGGUGAAUGAGGGGAGAACAUAUACAAUUGAGAACAUACAAUUAGGUGUCCUUUUGCAUAUACGACCACCAAUAUCCUUAUGUUAUAGAUCAACACUCUAAUGAUCUCCCUCAAGAGUGUAGUCUGCAAACUCCCUUAUAGAUUUUAAACAAAACAUUUUCAACUACGCUCGGGUGGACUCACACUAAAUAGGGCCUCAAGUAAUACUUCUUUUACAAGUUUUGCAUCUGGGAAAUCCAAAAACAUGUUACCUUCACUCAGAGAUUGUUUGCCUCUCUUUUAUCCUUUGAAAGCUUGUCAUGGCGUAGAAACUCUACAAUUGGAUCCAUUCAGCUUGGUCCUAGCCCGAUAUUGCAAAAGACAAACUCUUGAUGAGUUUUGUAGCAAGAGACCGAGAUUAAAUCCAUUGCUAUGAUUCGACUAUUUCUCCUUCAAAACCUGAUGCUAAGCCUGCUAAUACAUCCACAUGUGAAUUUAGAUCUCUCCUUACCGCUAAGUAUUUUGCCAAUUUGGCUCCCUGAGCUUUAAACUUUUUGGUAACUUGAUUGACCACCAACUUUGAAUCACUAAAGAUGUGGAGAUCGAGAACCAAUUAUUUCUUGGCAGAUCUCAAUCCUUCUAUGAAUGCUUCGUAUUCUGCUUCAUUUUUUGUUGUAGGAAAAUUCAACUUAAGGCAGUGCUCGAAGACUGUCCCCUCGAGGUUUUUUAGCACCAUUCAUACUCUUGUAUCUAUGCUAUUUUUGGCUCCAUCGACAUAUAUUAUCAAGGCCUUGGACUAAUCAAUCUAAGGUGGUUUCUCAAUAACCUUAGGAACCUUAGGGGUAUUCUCAGUCACAGGUGAUAUUUUGGCCGCCGCUGAUGUUCCCGCCCAGCUUUCCUAUUCCUUAUGUGUAGAUACAUGAUAAUCUGGUUCUGGACUCACAGUUCGAGGUAAGAACUUUGCAUCAAAAUUAGCCAAGACCUAGCCCUUAAUUGCUACUCUUGGAAGGAAUUUGAUGUCCAAUUAUUUAAGCUCAACAACCCAUUUAGAUAGUCUCCCAGACAAGUUUGCCAUGUUGAUCACGUUCUUCAAGGGAAACUAAGUGUAUACUACAAUUGGGUGAAAGUAGGGCAUGAGCUUUUUAGAAGUAAUGACCAAUGACAAAAUGUGCUUCUUCAGCAACAGGUACCUCGCUUGGCAAUUCGUCAACAUCUUUCUAAUGAAAUAGAUCGAGUAUUGUUCUCUAUCUACCUCCCUUAGCAACACCGAGCUAACGGCGUGUUUAGAGACAGCGAGGUAGACUUAAAGUAGCUAUCCCUCAUCUAGGGUAGAAAGAAGUGGUGCUUGGUCAAGUGUUCCUUGAACUGUUUGAGCGAGAGCUCACACUCCUUUCCCCAUAAUAACUUAGUGUUCUUGUGAAGGAGUUGAAAAAAUAGGCGGCACUUGUCAAAAGACUUACUAAUGAAAUGGUUAAGCGUUGUCGCCAUUUUGGUUAGCUUUUGAACAUUCUUUGCAAUUCUCGGGCUAUCAAUGUCCUUAAUGGCCAUAAUGUAUUCUAGAUUCACCUCAACUCCUCGCUGAGUGACUAAGUGCCAUAAGAAUUUACUUGAGCUAACUCUAAAGGCUCACUUAAUUGUGUUCAAACUCAGUUAGUGCUUCUUUAAUAUCUCAAACACCUCAGUGAGGUCCUUUAGAUGGUCCCUUUCUUCUUUGAUUUUAACUAUCAUAUCGUCGAUGUAUGCAUCCAUGAUACUACCCAUCAAAGGCCUAAACAUCUUGGUGAUCAUUCUCUAGUAGGUGGUCCCAGCAUUCUUCUUCCUGAAGAGCAUGACCUUGAAACAAAAAAUGCCUUAAAGGUUGACAAAGGCAGUCCUCUCUUGAUUCGGCUCGUACAUAGCUAUUUGGUGGUAACCUUAUUAAGUUUCUAGAAAUCUCAUGCUGGCAUGGCCCGGUGUUGAAUCCACCAACUAAUCGAUCUUUGGCAAGGGGAAGCAGUCCUACGGACAAGCUUGAUUGAAGCUUGUGACGUAAACACACACUCUUCAUUUGCCAUUUUUUUCUCUGCCAUUACUAUAUUGGAUAACUAGUUUGGGUAAAAAAACUCAGUUAUUGCACUUGCCUCCUUUAGUUUCUCGACCUCUUUUAUCACCAAAUUCACAUAUUCUGCAACCGAUCU
rnacentral:lncRNA from 1 species